UACGAAGGGGGCUAGCGUUGUUCGGAAUUACUGGGCGUAAAGCGCGCGCAGGCGGUCCUUUAAGUCGGGGGUGAAAGCCCAGAGCUCAACUCUGGAACUGCCUUCGAAACUAGAGGACUUGGGUACGGGAGAGGUGAGUGGAAUUCCGAGUGUAGAGGUGAAAUUCGUAGAUAUUCGGAAGAACACCAGUGGCGAAGGCGGCUCACUGGCCCGUUACCGACGCUCAGGCGCGACAGCGUGGGGGAGCAAACAGG
rnacentral:rRNA from 1 species